AUUUAUCUGAUUAGAUUAGUUCCAAAUAAAAUGUCAUGUCAUAUAUAUUGGAUAUACUAUAUUUGCUGGUGGUCACUUUUACAUCUCUUCCCUUGUGAUUAAGCAGAAGGUUAAAGGACCAAGCUCAGAUCAUUCCUAAAAAACUGGAACUGUGGCACCUGAAAUUGAAUCUCGUUUCCAAGAUAAUAAGCAAAUGUUUUACCAAGUAGCAUCUAGCUCAACGGUCCAGGUCUGGACUGUGGAAGAUCAAAAACUGGACUGCCAAAAAUUUUUUGAAAGUAUAAAUUACUCAAAUUAUUUUAAAAUAUUUUUCUGCGCCAGCAUACACUUUGACAUCAAAGUGGCUCCUUUGCGAUAUGUUGGCACGUGCAAUGUGCCGGGCAGUGGUAUUUUUAUAAAGAACGAAUCUAAAUAAAGUACUGUA
rnacentral:lncRNA from 1 species